rnacentral:rRNA from 1 species
CCGGGACUUCUUUACCAGGUACCGUCAUUAUCUUCCCUGGCGAAAGAGCUUUACGACCCUAGGGCCUUCAUCACUCACGCGGCAUGGCUAGAUCAGGGUUUCCCCCAUUGUCUAAGAUUCCCCA